rnacentral:rRNA from 1 species
UACGUAGGGUGCAAGCGUUAAUCGGAAUUACUGGGCGUAAAGCGUGCGCAGGCGGCUUUGCAAGACAGAUGUGAAAUCCCCGGGCUCAACCUGGGAACUGCAUUUGUGACUGCAUGGCUCGAGUACGGUAGAGGGGGAUGGAAUUCCGCGUGUAGCAGUGAAAUGCGUAGAUAUGCGGAGGAACACCGAUGGCGAAGGCAAUCCCCUGGACCUGUACUGACGCUCAUGCACGAAAGCGUGGGGAGCAAACAGG